rnacentral:lncRNA from 1 species
UCAUUGUUCCAUCUACUCUAAAGGAUGAAUCCAGAGGCUAGUUUGAGCCCUAUUCUGGAUUGUCUAAGGACAAGCGGGCCAACCAGGUUAGAAAUGAAUCAGGUCAAAUCUUCCAUGUUAUUCAAUGGUAUGACCUUCCCUGUGAACAGUGACUGCAUUGAAGCCUGAACAGCAUAGAAAACUAGACAAGAGAAGGGUAUUUUUAAAAGACAUAAGCAGGAAAAGGUGAAAUUCCCCCUAUUUGUAGACAAUGUGACUCUCUAGCCCUAUGGAGGGCUAGGUGUGGUCACCCAUGCCUUUAAUCCCAGUACUUGAAAGGCAGAGACUGGUGCCUCCAUUCUAAUCUGAGGCCAUACUGGUCUACAUAGAGUUUCAGGCAAGCCAGGACUGUGUAAUGAGACCCAAUGUGGAUCAAAAACAAACAACCAAUCAUAUUGACUCCAUCAGAAAACUAUUAAAUCUGAUAAACACUUUCUAGUAUAGUUGCAAAAUAAAUUUGGAAAAAUCUGUACCUGUUUAAAAUACCAACUUUCUAGGAAAGAAAUUAGGAAACUCAUUCUCAACAGCUAAAAAAAAAAAAAUGUACCUACAAAUUAACCUAAUACAAAUAAACAAAGCACAUUUGAAGGAACUGAAACAAAAAGCCGUCGAGGGCUGAAGAGAUGCUUCAGUGGUUAAGAGCAGUAGGUUCUCUUCCAGAGGAUCUGGGUUUGAUUCCCAGAGCCUAUGUGGUGGCUCACAACCAUCUUUAUCUCCAGACCUAAGGAAUCUGACUCUCUCUCCUUGCUUCUAAGGCACCGAAUGGGUGUGGUGCACAGACAUGCAUGAGGGCAAGACAUGCACACAAAUAAAAUAAAAAUGAAAUAAAAACUAUUUUUGAAAAAAGGAAGGAAAAUGAAAUAGAAAAAGAUACUAGACAAUGAAAAGAAAUUCUAGGCUUCUGCAUUGCAGAAUGCUAUUAUGAAAUUGCUAUAUUAUCAAAAAUAAUCUAGAUUAAUGUAAUCCCUCCCCAUCUGUAUUCUAAUGGCAUUCUGCACAGAAGAGGAAAAAGAAAACCAAUGCUACAAUUUGUAUGCAAACACAAAAUACCACAGGUAAUCAAAGCUAUCCUAAGCAAAAGGACGAUCACCAGUGUUGUCAGACUACCUGGCUUCAAAUUAAGCUAGAGAGCCAUAGUAAGCAAGAAUCAUAGCACAAAAUCAGACACUUAGACCAGCAAGAAAGCAAAGGGGACCCAGAAAUAAACCCAUGGUCACUUACUAUUUGGCAAAGGCAUCAAAGCUCAUACACAUCAGGAGGGGGCAUUGAAUGACAAAUGCUUCCUGCAAAAUCUGGAUACCGACCUGUAGAGGAAUGUCAUGAUCUCACUCUUCACGAAAGUCAAUUCAAAAUUGGUCAAAGACACUAAAUUAAAACCCGAGAAACCAAAACUGCUGCCAGAGAACACUUCAAAAUAUAGACGUAGGCAACAAUGCUCUGAAUAGGAACUCAAAAGCACAGAAAAUAGCUUCAAGAUGGAUAAACAGGAAAAGAUGCAAUUAUAAAACUUCUGCACAGCAUCCAGAACAGACAGCUAACAAAAUGGAGGAACUCCAUCGCUGGUUUAUACUUCAGUCAGGAGGUAAUAUGGAGCAUAUACAGAGAAUUGCACAAAUU